rnacentral:rRNA from 1 species
ACACUGGUACUGAGACACGGACCAGACUCCUACGGGAGGCAGCAGUGAGGAAUAUUGGUCAAUGGGCGGGAGCCUGAACCAGCCAAGUCGCGUGAGGGAUGACGGCCCUAUGGGUUGUAAACCUCUUUUGCCGGGGAGCAAAGUGCCGCACGUGUGCGGUUUGGAGAGUACCCGGAGAAAAAGCAUCGGCUAACUCCGUGCCAGCAGCCGCGGUAAUACGGAGGAUGCGAGCGUUAUCCGGAUUUAUUGGGUUUAAAGGGUGCGUAGGCGGACGCUUAAGUCAGCGGUAAAAUUGCGGGGCUCAACCUCGUCGAGCCGUUGAAACUGGGUGCCUUGAGUGGGCGAGAAGUACGCGGAAUGCGUGGUGUAGCGGUGAAAUGCAUAGAUAUCACGCAGAACUCCGAUUGCGAAGGCAGCGUACCGGCGCCCAACUGACGCUGAAGCACGAAGGCGUGGGUAUCGAACAGGAUUAGAUACCCUGGUAGUCCACGCAGUAAACGAUGAAUGCUAGUUGUCCGGGGCGAUUGAGUUCUGG